UGCCGGCAGUGCAGACCAAUUGGCCAGAUCCCUUUGAACACUACUUAGUAUAGUUUCAUAGUUGUCCUGGACAACUCGCUGUAGCGAUGCGUGAAUGGUGAUGCACAAAUAUGUAAUUGUUAUGGGUUGGCUGUGUUCUCCCCGUCCUGUGUGUUGUCCUCUUCCCCUUUCCCCUGUUGUCUCUGUCUGUGUUGUGUUUAGACAAACACAUCACCUGAAGUUGUGAGAGGCGUGGCUAUGGGGGAUCUGGGUCAAGGGGCGUGGCCAUUCACUCCUGCACAGUUUCCACACAGCUGCAGCUCAUUCCAUUUCUCACCUCAGCAGUAUAUCUACCCGGGCUGUUCACCUCUUCGGCGCCAGAUCGUUAAACUACUCUUGUGAUCCCGCUCUGAAACUGCUGCUUACCUGCAACUUACCUGUGUGACCUGCUUUGCUGCCUCCCCGCUGAGACCUGUUGAGCCAUUGCUCUGCCGCUUUCUGCUGUGCUUCCUACUUCCACCCUGCACUGCUCACUCACAUCUCCUCUGAAUUUCUCUCGGUGAUUCAAGACUGGACUCUCUCAGACUGCCUGCUUCGAGUCUCAGUUCUCCGCUGGAUUCCUCACUGCCUGCCUGCCUCGAGCUUCAUUACCAUCCAGAAGCUACACUGCCCAAACUCCCCCGCUUUGCACAUUUAAGACUGACUGUUCAAAUAAACAUCUCAAACU